rnacentral:lncRNA from 1 species
AUGGAGAGAUGGACAGCGGCUCUGUGGCUGGCGGGGGCUGGGCGAGGGGGGCGAGGAGGGCCGGCCACGGGGUGCAGGGCUCCUUCUGGACAACACAAACAUGUUUUUAAAAUGGGUCAGAGUGUGACAGAGACCCCGCUCUGCGAACGCCCUGACAUCUCACGACAUACUUGCAGUGGGCGGGUGGCAGGGUAUGUGAACUAUGUCUCCAUAAAGCCGUCUGAAGACAGAAGAGGACGUGCGUGCCCUGCCCUGCGUGCCGGGAGGGAGGCCCGGGGUCAGGCAGAGCGGGGGCCCGGGGCCCGCGGCUCACCACCCAGCACCCACCCACGCCUCACCCAGCUCCCAGCUCCCGGGGUGGGACACGGGGCCAGCACGUCUGGCUCGGCGGGCUCACUGUGCUUGGCCGUUCCCCAGUUAUGCUCCUGCACAAACCAGCAGAAUUUAGGGUCACAUGAAAGCCAGGAAGUGGGGGGGGGUACAGUCACUCCCGAGGUGCCUUCCAGGAGGCCCCGGGGGUGGGGAAUGAGAGGAAGUGUGGCGUCCCUGGGCCUGGGUCCCUGCUGGAGAGUGGGGGCCCAUGGGAAGGGGGCUCCUGGGGAGGGGGUGCACACGGGGGCCAGAAGGCGGGGAGCCCACCCGACAUGGGGCUCUGGGCUGCAGGCGCUGUGUGGGCACCGUCCCUGCAGAGGGCCCCGCGGCCUGGCGGGCGGGCGGGUGGGGUGGGGGCCCUGCCCCAGCUCCCCACUGUUAUCUGCAGUCAGAGAAUUAAGCUAUGUCUUAGGAGCUGGGGAGACAGCGGGCUGCAGCCCUGGGGAGGACUCGUCGGCCCUAGAAGAGGAAAACCAGCCGCUGACGGAGAGACUGUGGCCAGAUGGGUUUCCGCUCUGUCCUGGCGGCCCUGGGCGGCUGGGCCUCACCUGGAGCUGCUGGGGGGGGGGGGGCGGGGNGCUGGGGGGGGGGGGUCUGGGAUGCGUCCCUGGGGGCCUGGGGCCCGCCCGCUGCAGCUAUAACUCAUCGGCACAGACCAGGAACUGA